ACGAAGGGUGCAAGCGUUACUCGGAAUUACUGGGCGUAAAGCGUGCGUAGGUGGUUUGUUAAGUCAGAUGUGAAAGCCCCGGGCUCAACCUGGGAAUUGCAUUUGAUACUGGCAGACUAGAGUGCGGUAGAGGAGAGUGGAAUUCCCGGUGUAGCAGUGAAAUGCGUAGAGAUCGGGAGGAACAUCAGUUGCGAAGGCGGCUCUCUGGACCAGCACUGACACUGAGGCACGAAAGCGUGGGGAGCAAACAGGAUUAGAUACCCUGGUAGUCCACGCCCUAAACGAUGCGAACUGGACGUUGGGAUCAAUUGAGAUUUCAGUGUCGAAGCUAACGCGUUAAGUUCGCCGCCUGGGGAGUACGGUCGCAAGACUG
rnacentral:rRNA from 1 species